AGACCUGUUUUCCUGUCUCUAGAUUGGACUGGUUUAGAUGAAGAUGAAGAUGCACAUGUCUGGGAAGACAAUUGGGAUGAUGACAAUGUAGAAGAUGAUUUCUCCAAUCAGUUACGAGCUGAAUUAGAAAAACAUGGAUACAAGAUGGAAACCUCGUAGUUUUUGCUGAAUAUGGAGUGGUUUCACUUUGAACUGUGGACAGACUAUAUUGAGAAAAGAAGAAAAGGUGGAAAAUGAGAGGCUUAGUUCAUAAUCUGCUUGGAUUUAUUAUUGUUUUGUAUAAAAAAUAAAGUUUUUAAUCUUAA